AUUGAACGCUGGCGGCAUGCUUUACACAUGCAAGUCGAACGGCAGCGGGGGCUUCGGCCUGCCGGCGAGUGGCGAACGGGUGAGUAAUGCAUCGGAACGUGCCCAUGUCGUGGGGGAUAACGUAGCGAAAGCUACGCUAAUACCGCAUACGCCCUGAGGGGGAAAGCGGGGGAUUCUUCGGAACCUCGCGCGAUUGGAGCGGCCGAUGUCGGAUUAGCUAGUAGGUGAGGUAAAGGCUCACCUAGGCGACGAUCCGUAGCGGGUCUGAGAGGAUGAUCCGCCACACUGGGACUGAGACACGGCCCAGACUCCUACGGGAGGCAGCAGUGGGGAAUUUUGGACAAUGGGCGCAAGCCUGAUCCAGCCAUGCCGCGUGAGUGAAGAAGGCCUUCGGGUUGUAAAGCUCUUUCGGCCGGGAAGAAAUCGUGGUCUCUAACAUAGGCCAUGGAUGACGGUACCGGACUAAGAAGCACCGGCUAACUACGUG
rnacentral:rRNA from 1 species